AUUGAACGCUGGCGGCAGGCCUAACACAUGCAAGUCGAGCGGAUGAAGAGAGCUUGCUCUCUGAUUUUAGCGGCGGACGGGUGAGUAAUGCCUAGGAAUCUGCCUGGUAGUGGGGGAUAACGUCCGGAAACGGGCGCUAAUACCGCAUACGUCCUACGGGAGAAAGCAGGGGACCUUCGGGCCUUGCGCUAUCAGAUGAGCCUAGGUCGGAUUAGCUAGUUGGUGAGGUAAUGGCUCACCAAGGCUACGAUCCGUAACUGGUCUGAGAGGAUGAUCAGUCACGCUGGAACUGAGACACGGUCCAGACUCCUACGGGAGGCAGCAGUGGGGAAUAUUGGACAAUGGGCGAAAGCCUGAUCCAGCCAUGCCGCGUGUGUGAAGAAGGUCUUCGGAUUGUAAAGCACUUUAAGUUGGGAGGAAGGGCAGUAAGUUAAUACCUUGCUGUUUUGACGUUACCGACAGAAUAAGCACCGGCUAACUACGUGCCAGCCGCCGCGGUAAAAC
rnacentral:rRNA from 1 species